GACGAACGCUGGCGGCGUGCUUAACACAUGCAAGUCGAACGAAGUGGCGAACGGGUGAGUAAUACGUGGGUAACCUGCCCUCCUUUUUGGGAUAAGCCUUGGAAACGGGGUCUAAUACAGAAUAAAGGGGGAUGGGCUCGCGGUCUAUCAGCUUGUUGGUGGGGUGCUGGCCUACCAAGGCGGUGACGGGUAGCCGGCCUGAGAGGGUGACCGGCGACAGUGGGACGGAGAUACGGCCCAGGCGCGGAAGGAGGGGGGAAGUGGGGGAUAUUGCACAAUGGGCGAAAGAGCGAUGCAGCGUGGCCGCGGAGGGGAUGAGGGCUGUAGGGUUGUAAACCUCUUUCGCAAUCGAGCGGGUAGGUAGAGAAGAAGCGCCGGCUAACUACGUGCCAGCAGCCGCGGUAAUUC
rnacentral:rRNA from 1 species